GACGAACGCUGGCGGCGUGCUUAACACGUGCAAGUCGAACGAUGAAGAAGAGAAACGCGAACUUCGGUUCAACUUUCACUUCGGAUUAGUGGCAGACGGGUGAGUAACGCGUGAGCAACCUACCUCUUACAAAGGGAUAGCCUCGGGAAACCGUGAUUAAUACCAUAUGACACAUUCAUAAGGCAUCUUAAGAAUGUUAAAGCUACGGCGGUAAGAGAUGGGCUCGCGUCCCAUUAGCUAGUUGGUGAGGUAACGGCCCACCAAGGCGACGAUGGGUAACCGGCCUGAGAGGGUGAACGGUCACAUUGGAACUGAGACACGGUCCAAACUCCUACGGGAGGCAGCAGUGGGGAAUAUUGCACAAUGGAGGGAACUCUGAUGCAGCGACGCCGCGUGAGCGAUGAAGGAAUUCGUUUCGUAAAGCUCUGUUCUAUGGGAAGAAAAGGACUGUACCAUAGGAGAAAGCCCCGGCUAAAUACGUG
rnacentral:rRNA from 1 species